CGUGAAUUACAAUUUUUACCUCAACGACUGUAUUAACGGGAAACCGUGUGGUGACUACACUCAGAUGGUGUGGGCGAACACCACCUUCGUUGGCUGCGCUGCACAAUAUUGCCCGAGUGUUUCUAAAUUUGAUGCUGAAAACGCCACAAUGCUGGUCUGCAACUAUUAUCCUCCAGGCAGUAUAAAAGGACAGUCACCCUAUCAGCAAGGACGUCCAUGCACCGCUUGUCCAGAAGGGACGCAUAGAUGUUUGAAC